GACGAACGCUGGCGGCGUGCUUAACACAUGCAGGUCGAACGGAAAGGCCUGCUUUCCCUUGUGGAUUGCGGGUGCUCGAGUGGCGAACGGGUGAGUAACACGUGAGUGAUCUGCCCCCAACUUGGGUAUAAGCCUGGGAAACUGGGUCUAAUUCCCGAUAGGACUGCAGGGUGGUGCCUGUGGUGGAAAACGAUUUUCUAGUGGUUGGGGAUGAGCUCGCGGCCUAUCAGCUUGUUGGUGGGGUAAUGGCCUACCAAGGCGGCGACGGGUAGCCGGCCUGAGAGGGUGGACGGCCACAUUGGGACUGAGAUACGGCCCAGACUCCUACGGGAGGCAGCAGUGGGGAAUAUUGCACAAUGGGCGGAAGCCUGAUGCAGCGACGCCGCGUGGGGGAUGACGGCCUUCGGGUUGUAAACUCCUUUCGACCGCGAGGAAGCCACCUGGUUGGAAGGGUGGUGACGGUAGUGGUAGAAGAAGCACCGGCUAACUACGUG
rnacentral:rRNA from 1 species